ensembl:snRNA U6 U6 spliceosomal RNA
AUGCUUGCUUUGGCAGGAUAUAUAAAAAAUUGGAAUGAUACAGAAAAGAUUAGCAUGGUCCCUGUACAAAUACAACACAUAAAUUUGUAAAGGGUUCCAUCUUUUU